GACGGAGGGUGCUAGCGUUGUUCGGAAUUACUGGGCGUAAAGGGCGCGUAGGCGGCCUUCUCAGUCGGGUGUGAAAGCCCGGGGCUCAACCCCGGAACGGCACCCGAGACGGGUUGGCUGGAGACCGGGAGAGGAGGGUGGAAUAGCCAGUGUAGAGGUGAAAUUCGUAGAUAUUGGCUGGAACACCGGUGGCGAAAGCGGCUCUCUGGCCCGGUUCUGACGCUGAGGCGCGAAAGCGUGGGGAGCAAACAGG
rnacentral:rRNA from 1 species